rnacentral:rRNA from 1 species
GAAGAGAGAGUUCAAGAGUACGUGAAACCGCAUAGAGUCAAACUGGUGGAUCCGCAGAGUCCGCGCGGGGAAUUCAGCUCGGCAGGCGGGGCCGUGCGCCGGCCGAGAUUCGUCUCGGACCUGGCCGGCGCGCUGCGUACUCGCAGGCAGGGUGCACUUUCCCCGGCUAGCGGAAGGCCACGACCGGUUCGGUGGCGGUCAGGAGCCCGGAGCGGGAGGUAGCCGUGAUCGGUUCACGCCGAUUGCGGAACGUACAGCCCUCCGAGGUGGACUCGCCGCUGGACCGAGGAUGCCGCGGUGGCCUCACGCCGCGGGCCGUCCGGGAGCGUUCGACUUUGGCCACGCUGCUCGCAGCCGGCCGAGACCGCGCUUCUGGUACGGGCUCGCGAACGGGGGCCGCCUAGGGUCAGUGGCGAAUCGGUCGGCAACCCACCAGACCCGUCUUGAAACACGGACCAAGGAGUCUAGCAUGUGCGCGAGUCACGGGGUCUCUCGAAACCCAAGGGCGCAAUGAAAGUGAAGGCCGCCUCCGGCUGGCCCAGGCAAGAUCCCGAGACGUUCGCGUCGAGGGCGCACUGCCGGCCCGUCUCGCUGGCAUCGACCACGAGGCGGAGCAAGAGCGCACACGCUGGGACCCGAAAGAUGGUGAACUAUGCCUGAGUAGGA